rnacentral:misc_RNA from 1 species
UUUCCGUAGGUGAACCUGCGGAAGGAUCAUUAAUGAGUUGUCAUGGGGUUCGAUGCUGGCAGCCAAUUUUUGGAUGCAUGUGCUUGCCCUAACAAUCAUCUUCCAAACACCUGUGCACAUUUUUGAGGGAGUCUUGAGUUGGUUGCCGCUCUUGGGUGAUUUUCUCACAUUCCCUUAAAUCAUUAUACGCUAUUAACAAUGUUGAACGUGCGCUGUGCCGCAAGGCUAUUAAUAUAAUACAACUUUUAACAACGGAUCUCUUGGCUCUC